AACAACACGAGGGGAAACGCGAUUCCUUUGAGAGAUUUAGGUACUGAGUGAAACCAAGUCCAUUAAGGACAGGGUAAAGCAUGGGCCCUAAUGGAAGAAAUGGUUGGGAGACAUUGGUAAUGGUGGAGAUGGAGAGCCUGGGGAAGGGGAGAGGCACGCAGCUCCUCUGGGAAC